AGUCUGCUCCUCGCGUGCGACGUGCGUCCUAGGACCGCCCAAUUCCCGAGCCCGCACCCCUCCUUCCUCCUCUCUCCCUUGUCAGCCGCCACAGCAAGAACCGUAGCCCCCUUCCAUAGAUCCCCAUUGCCGCCGCCCCUCCCGCAUCUGUUCUCUCCUUCCUCUCUCCGUUGUAAGCCGCCGCUACAACUCCUCCCUUCCCCGUCUUUGUCCGUGCAGCCGACCAACUUAGCUCCGCCCGAAGAUCGCUGCCUCCCCAGUUCAUCAUCCCUCCCUUGCUGCUCUGCUUUCACCAGGGAUGGACGAAUCCAUGCACCCCCUCGCCUAGAACCGCUAGGUGAAGAACAUGGACGAGCGUGAGGGUCGGAGGCAGCCACCAGGCGACGGAUCUGGCGCGGGGUUACGGGUUUCAAGACCCUCGUGGUUGACAUCCUCUUCGCUUCUUCCUCGUGCUGCUGCAUCCCCUCGGUUCUUCCCCUGUAUAAUGUGAUGCAGAUUACUUGUGAUUUUCGGCAUAAUCAACUUGUCAAGGAGUGGUGUCAAUGGAAGCCGUGACAGUCAUUCUGGUGACAUAUGCACAUCAGGUUCUAGAAUUAAGUUGUCCUACUAGGAAAUUUUCUACAAAAGGUUUGCAUGUUCAGUCAAUGGGAAAUUGGUAGCAACUUUCCUGCACUUUUUGGAUGCAUAGCUUUGAUAGUUUUGCUUGCGGUGCCUAAAUUACAGCCUGCCAAUGGCGUGGAGUUUAGGUAGCUAGCCCAUGCAUUGGGAAGAGUUUGGGCGGGUCGCGGUUGAUAUCGGACCUGUAAAUGAAGAAAUUUUCAUUGCAAUGGGCAUAAUUAAUGUUGUGGUGGGGCUUAGUUGCACGCUCGUUGGUCUGCCCAGGGCGAAGGAGUUCACCGUGGUGGACACGCCACUCCUGGAGCGGCUCUUCUUGUUCCUGCCGCCUAAUGGUGUGGUGGGGCUUAGGAUCGCUUGUGCUCCCAACCUGCGGGUGCUCGCCUACUAGACACAAGAGCUUGCAUGCUACAGAUUGGUGUCAGCAUCAUUGGGGCACAUCUCUUGGGUCUACAUCUCUCUUGCAACUUGAAAUUAUUCCAUUGACAUUGAUCCAACCACCAUGUUCUUCUUUGUGAUUAGAAAACUAUCAAUGACUUGUGAUAAUAAUGUUGCUUUAGCUGUAUCUCAUUGCAGUCUCUAAAAAUUAUUCCAGUAAUCCCUCUUCUUCUCUUCUCUUCCAGUAACUAUCAAUACCUAGUGGUGAGUUCAGUGGUUGCCGCCUCCUCUUCUCUUCGAAUCCAGUAAUCCCUCUCGUGAGUGCAUCAGGGGAUGUCGUGCCCUCGACUACGGUGAAGCACCAGGUCCACUUGAGCUCCUCCUUCAACCUGCGUGUGUGAUUUCUUCUUUUUCCAUGAAUGCACACAUUUGAAGCUUUUUUUGGUUCCCUCAUCUAGAUUUCUUCUGAAGUGUGCAGAUUGUUAUUCCAUAUCAGGGAGGAGAAUAUUCGUUUGAAGGACUCAUUAGGCCCAUAAUAUUUAGCUUGUAAUUUCUAUGAUUCAUCCAUAUGUCUAAUUCUAACCUUACAGAUCAACCUAUCUCUCCACCCUUCUAAAUCUGGCGCUGCUACAUUUCAAAAUCUCGUAUGUAUGAGAUUUAUUCUUUUAGGUAUAUUUCUACUUGAAAGAAGUUCACAUUUAUUUUCUUAUUAGAUGAGCCUGCUUCCGUUUGCUGGCUAUACGUAGGUUGCAGAAAUGAGAAUACUUAUGAUAUCACAUGAAUGAGAUGUUGAUGCCCUGUAUGCUCCAAAAUUGUAUCAUUAAUCCCACACAAUGGUUAGAAACCCAGUCGUUGACUCACAAUAGACAAGACCAUAUUUCACAUUUUGUGUAGUCCAACAAAUAAUACAGAUGGACCCUGGUGAUGGUUUUCCAUAUACUGUGAUAGUAGUUUCCUGCAUUGAUUAUUUAUUGAGCCACCCUUCCGUUUUCAACUCGAAUCGGUGCAAUAGUUAAAUAGAUGUAUUCUUGUCAUUUAGCCCCAAAAUUCAGUUCAGUUUGGAUCUACAUCUUUUGCCGACCCCUUUUCUUGGUACUGAUUGACCUUUUUGUGUUAAUAUUUUUAUUUGACUGCAUUUUUUUCUUUAGUCCUUCCUCUUAGUGUAUAAUCCUGAUUGUGCAGGUUUCUUUCCUGGCAGCGAAUUUAUGAUUCAGACCAUUCCAUAACAAAAUGCAUAUAUGGCCUCACAGUCGGAGUUUAGCUUCAGACUGUCAUCAAAUCAUCUUACAAAAUGUAAGUAUAGAGGAAUUAAUAUAUAGAGGUUAUGACCAUCAUGUAGAGUGAUCUCUGAAGAUGGAUUGCAGAUAAGUAGAUUAACAAUUUAGUACUGACCCUAUUUCUGUUGAUACUUUAUUUUACUAGAUCUUUCGUAUUAACCAUAAGCAUAAAGGAUAUCAUGUUGGGUUGCAUUGCCAUGUAAGGAAUGGAUAUCCUAAACCUGAGAAAGUACCAACGCAGAUUAUAGUUUCUUAGGAAUAUCAUCGUGUAGUUACAGCAAAGAUGGCAAGCUGUAGCACCUUCUAUAGUUCAGUUUACUAUUAGGGAUAUCAUUCAAUCUUUGAACUAUGUAUUACUGUUAUAAAUUUGGCUAGGGAAUCUGUCUCAUUUUAAUAUUUCAAUGAAGUGGUUGGGAUGGAGAGGGUUUUUUACUUGACUACUUUCUGACUAUAUACCUUUCUGUUUUGUGCAAGUACAAAGUAUUAGUAAUUUUGGUCUGUCCAAUUUUUGCAGGGAUAAUUGUGUGAGUCUGGUCCAAACUUUAAGACAAUCACUUAAUACAUUUAUGGGAUCACCAACUUCUGGCGUUUGUUGAGACUAGCUAGGUGGGACCAUGAAUUCCAAGAAGAUUGUGGUAAUUAUCCUACUUUGUUUGCAAGAUUGGUUUCUAAAAAUAUCAUGGUAGUUAUAAUUUCAGAUUGCUGCUGAUUUGACUGAAUAUGUUUUGAUGGCUUUUAAGCUUUCAUUCUUUACUGUGUGUAAAAGUAACUAAUUCAUUCCUAAUUGAAUCUUUCAAUGGUUGAUGGGAACACUACAGAUCUUGCUUCUCUGCUUUUUAAUGUUUCAUAUGUUUUCAUGUACAAACCGAGGCGUGCGGGCACCAUGUGUUUCUAUCCCAGGUGCUAAAAUCUUAUGUGCCAAGGGCAUUGUGAUGGCGCGAUGCAUAUCUCAUGCAAGUGCUAGACAUCCCAUAGCCCCAAAGAGGAGGGCUCCAAGGUUGGACAGCAAGCUUCACUGGAUGAAAGCAUUUCCCUUCUAAAACAGAGUGUUGCUGACAUGAAUGCACAAGUUAGUCUUGAUACUAAGAUGGUCAUGGAAUUGCUUGAUCUAUGCUAGGUCAACAUGUUAGCCAACCACUUAAAAAUAAUCAAUUGCAUUUCUUCCUCUGAAAUGUGAAACCUGAUGAGUGAUGACGCAUCAGCAAUUUAGCAAUAGAAGAUGUCAGUGAACACGAGUGCCCAGUCAAAAGCAAUGAAACGCUAGAUACUUUAGAGUGUAAUUUUAUAUAAGAAUAAAUAAAUGACACUCAAGUAAUUAAGCAA